UACGGAGGGGGCUAGCGUUGUUCGGAAUUACUGGGCGUAAAGCGCACGUAGGCGGACUGUUAAGUCAGGGGUGAAAUCCUGGAGCUCAACUCCAGAACUGCCUUUGAUACUGGCGAUCUCGAGUCCGGGAGAGGUGAGUGGAACUGCGAGUGUAGAGGUGAAAUUCGUAGAUAUUCGCAAGAACACCAGUGGCGAAGGCGGCUCACUGGCCCGGUACUGACGCUGAGGUGCGAAAGCGUGGGGAGCAAACAGG
rnacentral:rRNA from 1 species